rnacentral:ncRNA from 1 species
CUUUUAUGGUUCGCCCUUAAUCGGGCGAUUAAAAGGGAACCAUGUGCGAAUCAUGGACAGUCCCGCUGCUGUGUGUGGCAUUAUGGGCAAGCACUAUGUCACUGAGAGUUACGUGUUUUUAGCAAAGCCAUCGUUAGUUUUGCCAAUACGUAUAAUCUUGGGAAGACGCUUGUUUCCAGUCACGAGCCAGAAGACCUGCCUAUUAGCGU